GUUCAUAUAUAGUGCUUUUAACUACAACCAAAGCAACACAUCAAUGACAACUUCAAAAAGAGUUGCAGAGAAGAAAGUGGCUAAGUUUGAAAAGAACAUAACAAAGAGGGGAAUAUUGCAAAAUCAAAGAGGCAACAAAGGAUUUGAGCCAAUUCAUAUUUUUCUUGUUCUCUUUGCUGUUUUAUUCAUUGGAUCUUUUAUUUUCCAGGUUGUGAGGAUGGCACUUAAUGGUGGAUUGCUACCAAGAUAGAUGGAGUAUAUGGAAUACAUCGCCUUCAUUUCAAUGUAUUUGUCUUACGUUCUUUUUAAUACAAUUUAUAAAAAUGUCGCCUUUCUAUUCAAUAA